UCCCUGGUGGUUCAGUGGUUAAGACUUUGCACUUCCAUUGCAGGGGGAGUGGGUUCAAUCCCUACUCAGGGAA
rfam:TPA: Bos taurus chromosome 1, whole genome shotgun sequence.